rnacentral:rRNA from 1 species
GUUGAUCCUGCGGGAGGUUGCUGCUAUUAGGAUUCGACUAAGCCAUGCAAGUCAAGGGGACUUCGGUCACCGGCAUCAUGCUCAGUAACACGUCAAUAAUCUGCCCUUAAGUCUGGGAUAACCACGGGAAACUGUGGCUAAUACCGGAUAGGAUAAAGGUACUGGAACAUUCCUUUAUCUGAAAGCUCCGGUGCUUAAGGAUGAGUUGGCGGCCGAUUAGGUUGUUGGUGGGGUAAAGGCCCACCAAGCCUUCGAUCGGUAGGGGCCCUGAGAGGGGUAGCCCCGAGAAGGGCACUGAGAUACUGGCCCUAGCCCUACGGGGUGCAGCAGGCGCGAAAACUUUACAAUGUACGAAAGUGCGAUAAGGGAAUCCUAAGUGCUUACGCUUUGCGUAGGCUUUUGCCAAGGGUAAAUACCUUGGCGAAUAAGUGGUGGGUAAGACGGGUGCCAGCCGCCGCGGUAACACCUGCGCCACGAGUGGGAACCACUUUUAUUGGGCCUAAAGCGUCCGUAGCUUGUCAAGUAAAUCUUCUGUGAAAUCGUUAGGCUUAACUUAACGGCGUGCAGAAGACACUGCUUGACUUGGGACUGGGAGGAGCUAGAAGUAUUUUUGGGGGAGCGGUAAAAUGCUAUAAUCCCAAAAAGACUACCGAUGGCGAAGGCAUCUAGCUAGAACAGAUCCGACGGUCAGGGACGAAAGCCAGGGGAGCAAACCGGAUUAGAUACCCGAGUAGUCCUGGCUGUAAACGCUGUGAGCAAGGUGUUGCAUAUUCUUCGUGAAUGUGCAGUGUCGAAACGAAGGUGUUAAGCUCACCGCCUGGGAAGUAUGGUCGCAAGACUGAAACUUAAAGGAAUUGGCGGGGGAGCACUACAAGGGGUGCGGCGUGCGGUUUAAUCUAACUCAACACAGAGAAUCUCACCAGGGGCGACGGCAGGAUGAAAGUCAGCUUGAAGAGCUUACUUAACGAGCCGAGAGGUAGUGCAUGGCCGCCGUCAGCUCGUGCCGUAAGGUGUCCUGUUAAGUCAGGUAACGAGCGAGACCUGUACCUACAAUUGCUAGCGGCUGAAUUUCAGGACCGAGCACAUUGUGGGGACUGCCUCCGAAAGGGGGAGGAAGGUGCAGGCUACGGUAGGUCUGUAUGCUCCGAAUCCUUUGGGCUACACGCGCGCAACAAUGGUACGGACAAUGGGCUACAACUCCGAAAGGAGAAGUUAAUCCUCGAAACCGUAUCUCAGUUCAGAUUGAGGAUUGUAACUCAUCCUCAUGACGUCGGAAUCCCUAGUAAUCGGGUUUUAUCAGAGCCCGGUGAAUAUGUCCCUGCUCCUUGCACACACCGCCCGUCAAACCACCCGAGUAGGGUUUAGAUGAGGCCUUAUUUUUAAUAAGUUCAAAUCUAAGCUCAGCGAGGAGGGUUAAGUCGUCACAAGGUA